rnacentral:rRNA from 1 species
GAUCCUGGCUCAGAUUGAACGCUGGCGGCAUGCCUUACACAUGCAAGUCGAACGGCAGCACGGGGGCAACCCUGGUGGCGAGUGGCGAACGGGUGAGUAAUACAUCGGAACGUGUCCUGUAGUGGGGGAUAGCCCGGCGAAAGCCGGAUUAAUACCGCAUACGAUCUACGGAAGAAAGCGGGGGAUCGCAAGACCUCGCGCUAUAGGGGCGGCCGAUGGCAGAUUAGCUAGUUGGUGGGGUAAAGGCCUACCAAGGCGACGAUCUGUAGCUGGUCUGAGAGGACGACCAGCCACACUGGGACUGAGACACGGCCCAGACUCCUACGGGAGGCAGCAGUGGGGAAUUUUGGACAAUGGGGGAAACCCUGAUCCAGCAAUGCCGCGUGUGUGAAGAAGGCCUUCGGGUUGUAAAGCACUUUUGUCCGGAAAGAAAACUUCUGCCCUAAUACGGCGGGAGGAUGACGGUACCGGAAGAAUAAGCACCGGC